rnacentral:rRNA from 1 species
UGGUAAUGCCGGAUGCUCCAGUUGAUCGCAUGGUCUUCUGGGAAAGCUUUCGCGGUAUGGGAUGGGGUCGCGUCCUAUCAGCUUGACGGCGGGGUAACGGCCCACCGUGGCUUCGACGGGUAGCCGGCCUGAGAGGGCGACCGGCCACAUUGGGACUGAGAUACGGCCCAGACUCCUACGGGAGGCAGCAGUGGGGAAUAUUGCACAAUGGGCGCAAGCCUGAUGCAGCGACGCCGCGUGAGGGAUGGAGGCCUUCGGGUUGUAAACCUCUUUUAUCGGGGAGCAAGCGAGAGUGAGUUUACCCGUUGAAUAAGCACCGGCUAACUACGUGCCAGCAGCCGCGGUAAUACGUAGGGUGCAAGCGUUAUCCGGAAUUAUUGGGCGUAAAGGGCUCGUAGGCGGUUCGUCGCGUCCGGUGUGAAAGUCCAUCGCUUAACGGUGGAUCCGCGCCGGGUACGGGCGGGCUUGAGUGCGGUAGGGGAGACUGGAAUUCCCGGUGUAACGGUGGAAUGUGUAGAUAUCGGGAA